rnacentral:lncRNA from 1 species
GGAAGUGUUCACAUACCCUGGCUCAGCAGGACAACAAAGAAUCUGUCAGGAUUCUUGCAGAAGAGCUGCCUGCAUUCUGUGACUAGGAAAACAUCAGACAAACAGGACAUUCUACAAAGUACCUGACCAAUAUUCUUCAAAAUUGUAGAGGUCAAAAAAGAAAAGGAAAACUGAAGAACUGUCACAGAGGGGACUAACGUGUUACGACAACUCAGUGCACCAUGGAACCCUGCCUAGAUUCUGGAAAAGGACAUUAGUGGAGAAAUUAGGGAACUCUACAUAAAGUCCAAGUUUAGCUAAUAGUGAUAUACCAAUGUUACUAUGGCAGUUAGAUAUCUUAUUGUAAGAGGCCAUCUUAAUGUAAGAUGAAAACUGUGGGAAACUGAAACUGGAAUUCUGUCCUGCCUCUGC